CUUGACCAAGCGACGCCGCGUGUGCGAUGAAGGCCUUCGGGUGUAAAGCACUGUCGAGGGGGAGGAAGCCGCAAGGUUGACCUAUCCCUGGAGGAAGCACGGGCUAAGUUCGUGCCAGCAGCCGCGGUAAGACGAACCGUGCGAACGUUGUUCGGAAUCACUGGGCUUAAAGGGCGCGUAGGCGGGUUCACAAGUCUGUGGUGAAAUCCUCCAGCUUAACUGGAGAAGUGCCAUGGAUACUGUGGGUCUUGAGGAGGGUAGGGGCAUCUGGAACUGCCGGUGGAGCGGUGAAAUGCGUUGAUAUCGGCAGGAACUCCGGUGGCGAAGGCGAGAUGCUGGAUCCUUUCUGACGCUGAGGCGCGAAAGCCAGGGGAGCAAACGGGAUUAGAUACCCCGGUAGUCCUGGCCCUAAACGAUGAGAACUAGAUAGCGAGGGUGACAUGCCCCCGCUGUCGGAGCAAAAGUGUUAAGUUCUCCGCCUGGGGAGUAUGGUCGCAAGGCUG
rnacentral:rRNA from 1 species